GGGGGCGAACCAGUUUCGACAUGGGUCAGCGUGGACAACGGCUGCAGGUCGAGCUCCCGUGCCUCGUUAAUCCACGGGAAAUCAAAGAAACGCCAACGAGAGCUACGCUCUAGCCGCAUAAGGCGGCUACGUCCUCCGGGUCUCUGCCCGCAGGACCCGGCCAGGGCGUCAAACAUGCGGGCUCACCCUUCGGUCCGCCCGGAACCGAAGGGGACAUCCACGGGCUAGCCUUCGUCGGCCUCGUUCCCGGGGGCCGGCGGAAGGUGAACAUCCUCCCGGGGAAUAAGCCUGUAGACGCCGCUGCCUGCGCACCUGUGGACGCCGGUGCAACUCCGGCCGCCUCCACCA
rnacentral:tmRNA from 1 species